UACGUAGGGGGCUAGCGUUGUCCGGAAUCAUUGGGCGUAAAGAGCGUGUAGGCGGCCCGGUAAGUCCGCUGUGAAAGUCGGGGGCUCAACCCUCGAAUGCCGGUGGAUACUGUCGGGCUAGAGUGCGGAAGAGGAGAGUGGAAGUUCCUGGUGUAGCGGUGAAAUGCGCAGAUAUCAGGAAGAACACCCGUGGCGAAGGCGGCUCUCUGGGACGGUACUGACGCUGAGACGCGAAAGCGUGGGGAGCGAACAGG
rnacentral:rRNA from 1 species